AUUUCGCCCCGCGCCCCCGCCGUUUUAUUUCUUAAUUCUCGCUCCGCGCCCUCGCGGGGCGAAGUUUUAUUUAUUAAACUUCGCUGCGCGCCCCCGCUAAUAAGCGUGUUUUCGCUCCGCGACCCCGCCAUUUUAACUUGUAAAUUCUCGACUUUUCGCUUGGCGGGGUGGCGGGACGAAAACACAUAUGGCACAAAUCAGCCACCAUAGUGGUACGUGUUGAUCAUGCGUUACACAUAUGGAUUAUAAAUGAUUGCAUACAUGUAUAUCCGUUGCUAUUAAUAACCACGAUCAUAAAGAAAUAACAAGUAAUAUUCUAAUCUCUAGCAUGCCAAUCAAAGUUCAUAAUGAACAAUGUCUUUCGUCCGCUCAUUCAUAAGUGAUAUACAUUUCUGGUAGUUCAUAAGAAUAUCUUGUCAUCAUAUGUGUACUAGUUCAUCUUCACUUGCUGCAUUUCUUGCUUGGACGCCCUGUGAUGCUUUGCAUCAAUGCUUUUCUUGUAUAUAUUUAUAAUAUAUUUAUAGUAUAUAUGGAUGAAUUUUUUAAAAACAAAUUUCCUUUGUUGAUUUAUUGAAGAUAAGAUAUUUUAAAAACAUUUUGAAUGAAAAAAUAUUUUAUUACUGAAAAAAAAAAUUUAUAAAAAAUAAGUGGGCGUGGUCAUGUACAUGUAUACUAUCCAAGCCACGCACCGAUUGCCUGUGCAGCCAACAUUAUUUUUGGAGGGAAAGUCGUACCGAAGAGAUGGAAGGAUUGGUGUUCCCUGAUAGGAAAAUCUACAGUACUUGGAAGUUGCCAGGUUCUUCUAAUUGUAUAAUAGAAUUAUAAUAAUAUAUUCCAAUAUUUUGUGUCUGGAGACCCCUUUGAAUAGAAGAGGUUGGAGGGUCCUGAUCCUGCAUCAUAAUUGUGGUGGACACACAAGGAAGGAUGGCUGUGUAAUAUUGGCAAAGUGUAUAUACAUGUUGGAAUGUGGCAUGAUGGAGCAUUUGCCGACUAUGGAGUUGCCUCAAAUGUGAUGAUGGAUGUGAUCUUGCAGACCAUGGAGUUGCAUCAAAUGUGAUGAUGGAUGUGAUCUUGCAGACCAUGGAGUUGCAUCAAAUGUGAUGAUGGAUGUGAUCUUGCAGACCAUGGAGUUGCAUCAAAUGUGAUGAUGGAUGUGAUCUUGCAGACCAUGGAGUUGCAUCAAAUGUGAUGAUGGAUGUGAUCUUGCAGACCAUGGAGUUGCAUCAAAUGUGAUGAUGGAUGUGAUCUUGCAGACCAUGGAGUUGCAUCAAAUGUGAUGAUGGAUGUGAUCUUGCAGACCAUGGAGUUGCACCAAAUAUGAUGAUGGAUGUUAUCUUGCAGACCAUGGAGUUGCAUCAAAUGUGAUGAUGGAUGGGAUCUUGCAGACCAUGGAGUUGCAUUAAAUGUGAUGAUGGAUAUGAUCUUUCAGACCAUGGAGUUGCAUCAAAUGUGAUGAUGGAUGGAUCUUGCAGACAAUGGAGUUGCAUCAAAUGUGAUGAUGGAUGUUAUCUUGCAGACUAUGGAGUUGCAUCAAAUGUGAUGAUGGAUGUUAUGUUGCAGAAUCAUGGAGUUGCAUCAAAUGUGAUGAUGGAUGUUAUCUUGCAGACCAUGGAGUUGCAUCAAAUGUGAUGAUGGAUGGGAUCUUGCAGACCAUGGAGUUGCAUCAAAUGUGAUGAUGGAUGGGAUCUUGCAGACCAUGGAGUUGCAUCAAAUGUGAUAAUGGAUAGAUGUCAGAAUGUUGCUGGAUUGCUGUCGAAAUUUUGAUGUUGGAUUUACGUCAACUGUGGAUGGGUUGUGACAUUGGCAAAGUGUAUGUGUUGGAAAGUGGGCAUGAUGGGGCAAUAUGUCAGGUGGAAGAGCAGUCACAUGGUACAAAGAUGGCAGCAUCUGAAGAAAUUUUGCUGGACACCUUGCUUAGAAUAACAAAAAUGCAGCAAUAAAAACAGAAAACCCUUGCAAUAUGUUGGCUGGAUUGCUAGAUUGAUGUCGGAAGUUGUGAUGGGUGAUUUAUGUCGGAAUGUGGAUUGUUGUGACAUUGGUAAAGUGUGAUUGUGGCUGGAAAGUGCCAUGAUGGAU